rnacentral:rRNA from 1 species
UUAAGCAUAUCAAUAAGCGGAGGAAAAGAAACCAACAGGGAUUGCCUUAGUAACGGCGAGUGAAGCGGCAACAGCUCAAAUUUGAAAUCUGGCCCUCGGGUCCGAAUUGUAAUUUGUAGAGGAUGAUUUUGGUGCGGUAUCUUCCGAGUUCCUUGGAACAGGACGCCUUAGAGGGUGAGAGCCCCGUACGGUUGAAUGCCUAGCCUCUGUAAAUCUCCUUCGACGAGUCGAGUAGUUUGGGAAUGCUGCUCUAAAUGGGAGGUAAAUUUCUUCUAAAGCUAAAUAUUGGCCAGAGACCGAUAGCGCACAAGUAGAGUGAUCGAAAGAUGAAAAGCACUUUGAAAAGAGGGUUAAAUAGCACGUGAAAUUGUUGAAAGGGAAGGAUUUGUGACCAGACUUUUUCUGGGCGGAUCAUCCGGGGUUCUCUCCGGUGCACUUUGCCCAGUAAAGGCCAGCAUCGAUUUUCGGCGGCGGAUAAAAGCAGUGGGAAUGUGGCUCCCUACGGGGAGUGUUAUAGCCCAUUGUAUAAUACGCUGCUGGGGAUCGAGGUACGCGCUUCUGCAAGGAUGCUGGCGUAAUGGUUAUCAAUCACCCGUCUUGAAACACGGACCAAGGAGUCGAACAUUUAUGCGAGUGUUUGGGUGUUAAACCCUCACGCGUAAUGAAAGUGAACGGAGGUGAGAGCCCGUACGGGUGCAUCAUCGACCGAUCCUGAAGUUUUCGGAUGGAUUUGAGUAAGAGCAUAACUGUUCGGACCCGAAAGAUGGUGAACUAUGCGUGGAUAGGGUGAAGCCAGAGGAAACUCUGGUGGAGGCUCGCAGCGGUUCUGACGUGCAAAUCGAUCGUCAAAUCUGCGCAUGGGGGCGAAAGACUAAUCGAACCAUCUAGUAGCUGGUUACCG